UACAGAGGGUGCGAGCGUUAAUCGGAAUUACUGGGCGUAAAGCGUGCGCAGGCGGUUGUGCAAGACAGGUGUGAAAUCCCCGGGCUUAACCUGGGAACUGCACUUGUGACUGCACAGCUGGAGUACGGCAGAGGGGGAUGGAAUUCCGCGUGUAGCAGUGAAAUGCGUAGAUAUGCGGAGGAACACCGAUGGCGAAGGCAGUCCCUGG
rnacentral:rRNA from 1 species